UGAGGAAUAUUGGUCAAUGGACGCAAGUCUGAACCAGCCAUGCCGCGUGCAGGAAGACGGCUCUAUGAGUUGUAAACUGCUUUUGUACUAGGGUAAACGCUUCUACGUGUAGGAGCCUGAAAGUAUAGUACGAAUAAGGAUCGGCUAACUCCGUGCCAGCAGCCGCGGUAAUACGGAGGAUCCAAGCGUUAUCCGGAUUUAUUGGGUUUAAAGGGUGCGUAGGCGGUUUGAUAAGUUAGAGGUGAAAUACCGGGGCUCAACUCCGGAACUGCCUCUAAUACUGUUGAACUAGAGAGUAGUUGCGGUAGGCGGAAUGUAUGGUGUAGCGGUGAAAUGCUUAGAGAUCAUACAGAACACCGAUUGCGAAGGCAGCUUACCAAACUAUAUCUGACGUUGAGGCACGAAAGCGUGGGGAGCAAACAGG
rnacentral:rRNA from 2 species